ACGCAGGCACGCAGCCUUGAUCCCCUCCUUCCUCCCCGCCACCGCCACCGCCACCGCCACGAACUCCUACUCCGACACGAACUCUGCUCAAGCCCGCUCCCAUGGUUCCCGACAUCGACAGCGACUCUUUACCCGUCCCGCAAGCCGAAGGCACCACCUACAGAAAGGACUCGAGUCCCUCGAUCGAAACCCUAGAUCAGACCGGAUCCCGGCGGCGCCACGACAGGUUGCCGGCCUGCAGUCCUCCUCACGGGACAAGCUGCGUUCGCGGUGCGCUCUCGCUGCCCGCCGGCUUCGACGAUGUGGGCCGGGGCGCCGCCCUUCCGCAGAUCCGCAAUCGAGCCGUGCGUCCGAUCUGCCGCCUCCCCUCGACGUCCACGGCUCUGCGCUCUUCCGUGUUCUCUCCUACCGCAAGUUGUGGGCCGCUACGCCGCUAUCUGCCGGUUCCUCGUACAAGAGCGAUGGACAAACUGAGCCCUGUGGGAAGCAAUCGCAUCAGCUCAACGACGUCCAGCGUUUCUCCUCUCUAUGUUUCUUUGCACGCCUAUCUCCAAGCACGAAGCCACGACGAGAUGGUCCGGUCUUAGUACUAUGUUGAUAGCGAGGGUGCUUGGUUCAAGGGAAGCAGCCGGUUCUCUACUUCUUUGUAUGCUUAUAUGGUAUCUUGGAUGAGGGUUACAAAUUCAACAUGUCAGUUGAGGAAGCUGCUGAGUUAGCACGGUGGGCUUUUAUCACACAACAUUAUGUGACAUGACAAAGCUAAUGGUGGCUGUGUUCGUGGUGAUAGAAGAGAUCCAUGCUUACAAACUUUUGGGAUAACCGAGUUUGUCAAUGCCAAGAAAAUAAUCAUCGGGUUUUCAAGUGUAGGCAUCGUGUGAAAGCCCAAUUAGUGUUCCUGGUUCAUGAAUUUAAGAACACAUUCUCAUCUCCCUGCUGUCUAUGUUCCAUUGUUUUAGAUUUAAAAGUGCUUUAGAUGAUUCUUGAUGCCCUGUCCAACCUUUCCAUUUCAGGCAUCAUUUCUAAGUUGUAUGGCAUCCACGAAUUUCCUGAUAGUUUGUUCUGCACCAGGCUGCCUCAUGUAGGAUUUUGGCGCUCAUGAUCUACCUUGAUUAGCUGACCUGCUCCCAGGCCUACUUCCCCUCCCCUCUGACCUCUCUCCCUCUAUGUAUGAUGUUUGAUAUGUGUUUUGGUUCAAAUUUGACAUGACUAUUUGAUUGAUGCUUGGUUUAGAAUGGAACAAGUUCUAUAAUUGGUAGAAGAGUCCUAUGUCAUACUUUGUAUUUUUUGUCAGGAUGGAUGCUUCAUAACAGGUGUAUGGAAGCACAAAAGUAGACUCAUAUAAACUGCAGUUGCAGUAUCAGCAAUAAGCAAGGGAAGUAUCACAUGUUUCUAUCAAAACUGUGUAUAAAUUUAAGAGCUUAGCAAGAGAAUAGCAUCUCUGUUCCCGGAGAAAAAAAAUUAAGAGCUUAGCAAGAGAAUAGCAUCUCUGUAUAAAUUUUAGAGCUUAGUUUUUUGCAUAUGCAUGUAACAGCAACUCUUUUGUGUUCUGGUCUUAAAUAUCUUAUUCAUGAUACAGUAAUCUGCACCAAGCUUACUAUGUUGAAUUUCGGUAAGGGCAAUCCCUUUGUUUAUGCAUCUUCUUUAACAAAAGAACGAUAUUUGGGUUAUCAUCUGAGAUGUGCUUGAUUAAUGUCUUUCAGGCAAUGUAUGAUGCCAUUUGCGACCUUCUUCUUGAGCAAGCUGAAACAGGAGUAACUCCAUUAAUCAUUAUGUAGGAUGUGUGCACUUGUUUCCAUUGUACCUAUUUUGGAAGCUGUGGUAGCGCAAUAGGCUUUACCAGCGCUUGCAUACUUGCGUGAGGUCGCAGAACAUAAUAGUCUGGCGCAUCCUGCUAUGUACAUAACAGUGUGAUACAACACCUAUAGAAAUUGCUGCAGACUAUUGAAGAAGAGAGCCUGUGGAGAUUGGACGCGGAGUAUGUGAACUCGAGUGCACAGGAGUUCGUUAUCUGUCCCGUUCGGUACUGCGCUGUGAUUCGGUGCAUUGAAUGCUCGCAACAGGCCCGUGGUCGACCAGGAAUUUGGAAAUUGAGAUAUACGUAGAGGUGCAGACCUGACUGGUGGGCAAUAGCUCUGACGGACGUUGGGCCGCCGUCGACUGAUCGGAGGAGAGCCAUGGCUCGGGACGUCGGUGCCGUCCCGAUCCAUGGUUCAGAAUUGUUAGUAUCGACAGUGAUCGAGUAAAUGCAGGGAUGGGUAGAUGCAAGCAACUGUCUCCUACCUUACGAGACUAGAUCUUUCUUCUCUUGAGGUCGGUGAUCCGGAGGAGGCGAGUGCGGCUGCCGGAGAAGAUGGACUUCUUGAUGCAACCGAUUAACAGUAGUGUUUUGCUGUAGGAGGUGAACAACAGUGACAAACCCAUGGAGCCCCUCUGGUACCCAGUGAUGGCGCAGCUUCGCGGCCAGAUCUGUGAGACGGAAGUGACGGCGCAGCCCCUGGUCGAGAUCGACCCCAAGCCUCAGAGCAAAUCCAUAGAGCACAUCGACCCCAAGCCUCAGAGCAAAUCCAUAGAGCAGAUCGACCCCAAGAGUCCAGGAUGGACGCGUAGGGGAAGCAUAUAGUGGAGAACACAAGAUCCUGUCGUGGCGAAUGCCCUGCUCUCAUAAGACUUUUGUGUUCGAAAGACAACGGGUGGUACAUAGCCGAGCAUAGGGAGGAGCACAACCAUUCACUGUCUCCCACUUUUGGGCAGACAAUACACUGGCCUUCACACAAGCAUAUUGAUGUAUACGGCGGGUAUUUGGUGAAAUAGCUACGGUAGAACAACUGAACCUUGCCAAGGUGUACAACAUUAUUGGGAGUUUCUUCGGGAGGAUGGAGAACGUGCCUCUCACAAAGAGCCUUGUGGAAUAUAUGCGGUAAAAUUAGCCGUGAACAAGCCGAAUAUGAUGUUAGAAAAACAAUGGAGGUGUUUCAGGAACUUGGUUCAAAAGAUCAAUCAUUCACAUAUCAGGUUCAAGUUGACAAAGAGGGGAGGAUCAACAAUUUGAUGUGGGCUAAUGGGAACAGUAGACUCCAGUACACUUCUUUGUAGAUGUUGUCACCUUUGAUACAAUGUACAUACCAACCUGUAUGACAUGCUGUUUGGUCUAUUUGUUGGAGUGAACAAUCAUUUUCAGAGCAUAAUA